rnacentral:tRNA from 1 species
GGCUUGGUAGCUUUGUUGGUAAAGCACUCGUCUAGCAUACAAGACUCGUGGGUUCGAAUCCCAUCUGAGCAC